rnacentral:rRNA from 1 species
UUGAUUAUGGCUCAGGAUGAACGCUAGCGGCAGGCUUAACACAUGCAAGUCGAGGGGCAGCAUGGGAGUAGCAAUACUUCUGAUGGCGACCGGCGCACGGGUGCGUAACGCGUAUGCAACCUACCUGUAACAGGGGGAUAACACUGAGAAAUCGGUACUAAUACCGCAUAGCACUAUGAGAGGCAUCUCUUGUGGUUGAAAGUUUCGGCGGUUACAGAUGGGCAUGCGUUGUAUUAGCUGGUUGGUAAGGUAACGGCUUACCAAGGCGACGAUACAUAGGGGGACUGAGAGGUUAACCCCCCACAUUGGUACUGAGACACGGACCAAACUCCUACGGGAGGCAGCAGUGAGGAAUAUUGGUCAAUGGACGGAAGUCUGAACCAGCCAUGCCGCGUGCAGGAAGACGGCUCUAUGAGUUGUAAACUGCUUUUGUACAAGGGUAAACCUGAAUACGUGUAUUCAGCUGAAAGUAUUGUACGAAUAAGGAUCGGCUAACUCCGUGCCAGCAGCCGCGGUAAUACGGAGGAUCCAAGCGUUAUCCGGAUUUAUUGGGUUUAAAGGGUGCGUAGGCGGAUUGAUAAGUUAGAGGUGAAAUGUCCGAGCUCAACUCGGGAACUGCCUCUAAUACUGUUGAUCUAGAGAGUAGAUGCGGUAGGCGGAAUGUAUGGUGUAGCGGUGAAAUGCUUAGAGAUCAUACAGAACACCGAUUGCGAAGGCAGCUUACCAAUCUAUAUCUGACGUUGAGGCACGAAAGCGUGGGGAGCAAACAGGAUUAGAUACCCUGGUAGUCCACGCAGUAAACGAUGAUAGCUCGUUGUCGGCGAUACACAGUCGGUGACUAAGAGAAAUCGAUAAGCUAUCCACCUGGGGAGUACGUUCGCAAGAAUGAAACUCAAAGGAAUUGACGGGGGCCCGCACAAGCGGAGGAACAUGUGGUUUAAUUCGAUGAUACGCGAGGAACCUUACCCGGGCUUGAAAGUUAGUGACUGAUCUGGAAACAGGUCUUCCCUUCGGGGCACGAAACUAGGUGCUGCAUGGUUGUCGUCAGCUCGUGCCGUGAGGUGUCGGGUUAAGUCCCAUAACGAGCGCAACCCCUACUGAUAGUUGCCAUCAGGUCAAGCUGGGCACUCUAUCGGGACUGCCGGUGUAAGCCGGAGGAGGGUGGGGAUGACGUCAAAUCAGCACGGCCCUUACGUCCGGGGCGACACACGUGUUACAAUGGUAGGUACAGAGGGCCGCUACCCAGCGAUGGGGUGCAAAUCUCGAAAGCCUAUCUCAGUUCGGAUUGGAGGCUGAAACUCGCCUCCAUGAAGUUGGAUUCGCUAGUAAUCGCGCAUCAGCCAUGGCGCGGUGAAUACGUUCCCGGGCCUUGUACACACCGCCCGUCAAGCCAUGGGAGUUGGGGGUGCCUGAAGUUCGUGACCGCAAGGAGCGACCUAGGGCAAAACUAAUGACUGGGGAUAAGUCGUAACAAGGUAGCCGU